CGUGUAGGCGGCUUGACAAGUCGAAUGUGAAAGCCCGGGGCUCAACCUCGGAAGUGCAUUCGAAACUGUCAGGCUUGAGUACGGGAGAGGGAAGUGGAAUUCCUGGUGUAGAGGUGAAAUUCGUAGAUAUCAGGAGGAACACCGGUGGCGAAGGCGGCUUCCUGGACCGAUACUGACGCUGAGACGCGAAAGCGUGGGGAGCAAACA
rnacentral:rRNA from 1 species